rnacentral:lncRNA from 1 species
CCAGUAUUAUACAUGCUAUACACUGAAGAUAUUGUGGCCAGAAUAUUUACAUCUGCAGAUGAUACAGCAUACAACUUAUGGAACUUAUUGAAGCAGGUAUAGCACAAAGCAGCGUUGUGGGGCCAGUACUAUAUGAGCUAUACACUACCAUUAGAUAUUACUACUAUUAUUGUGGGUCCAAUAUUUACAUCUGUAGAUGAUACAGCAUACAACGUAUUGAACUUAUUGAACAUGUUGAAUUGUUAUUAGUUAUUGUUAUUAUUAUAAUUUGCUCUUAUUUGUUAUUGUUGCUGCUCUGAACAAUGUUAGUAUACAUAAAAGUAAUACCUACUAGCGGAAACUCUGAGCUAAACAUAAGCAAUAAGCGUGUUAUUUAUAAAACGUUUUGAAUCAAUGGGAUUGGCAUCAUUGGCACAUGCGGAGCGAGCAAAUAGGAAGCGAUCUUAUUAUCAAAGUACUAGAAGAGGAAAUCAAAUAUCAAUGCGUGAUAGGGCCUGAAAGCUAUCCUAGCGAUGUAGCAAUCUACAUUCAGAAAACCUUGCUAGAGGACUACGCUGGACGCAUCCAAACGACGUCAUCUUCUCGGCAUAAAGAGUGUGUGCAUUAGAUAUGUAUUCUACUAAGGGAGCAUCUACGUGAUAAAUAUUUCAAACAUUGUCAAAUCAAUUUACCAAAUGUCCUUCCUGAACAAAUUCUAGUGCAUUGGAGUUAAUUAAAAAAAAAAAAGAAAAAAUGUAUUCAUGUAUAGUCGUCAUUUCGAAGAUUUAUACCAACAUUGAUCUUGGCUAACUUUUUGCGUUGACGGCUCCAGCUAUAGAAAAAUUAGUAAUAUCAGAUUAUGAGCCCUUGGAUAUCAAGUAAGUUCAGUCUAAUGCAUUUUCUUGUAUCUUCAUCUAUCAGGUGACCUGUCUUAAAUGCCGCACUUUUUAUAUUACUCGGUAUAUUAUUAGAAAAUAGGUUUGUGUACAUCUGUAUUAUACGAGCGAGGAAUGAAAGAGAGAAAGAUAAAAGGAAAUUGAAUUAAUGAAUUAAUGAAUUAAUGAAUGUGCAAUAAAACAAAUUCAUUCCUGUUUGAGAUGUAUAAGAGAAUAGAGCAGUGUACGUUAAUACUUCAAGUUAUUCUGUUACAUAUAAGAUAGUUAUUCUGUUACAUAUAAAUUUUAUAUUUAAUAAACCGCUAUAUGUUAUUACUUUAACAUAUACAUACAAAGUGUUCUGACUACAGGUGGCAGGAAAUUGAAGGGGGUGAUUCUUGAAGCCAAAAUUGACGAAAAUAAGAAUAAAAUAAUUAUUUUUUCGGUUUCGUUUUCUAGUUAUUGAGAAUUAAAAAUUAGCCGUAAUAUCCCUGCACGCGAGCAAACCUUUUUACACGUACGAAAGGAGGUCGGUCAAAAUAGCGGGGCGCUCAGUUGUCCUCAAACCGAACGGCACAUGAGCGGCAGCUCACCUUGUAUAAGUUGUAGAGAAGAAGAACACAAUAUUCAAAGACGUAAACGAAUUCGCGCGAUCUUUUGCAGGAGAAACGGUAAAUUGAACGCUCAACCUCCUUACUCGUGGAGAUCCAUACACAAAAAUCGACACGUAUCAACAGAAACAAAUUUAAAGAUACAAUUCUCGGUGAAUGUUUUGCCAAAGUCUUAAACGAUAAAAUCAUUGCUCCGUUUAUCUCAAUUAAAUGGAUCAACAUAUUUGAAAUAUGAGACUUAUUACACAUGAGACUUAAGAAUAUAUGUACAUAAACGUCUAAUCGUUUAUUAUAUAUCUGUUGAAAAUUCGUUCUUCUUCAAUUGGGAAACAAGUAAAUACGCUGUUAUGCGUUGCCGUGAGAAAUUGCAAAGUAUCGCAAGACAUCGUGUAAUGUGCUGUGCAAGGUAUCAUUCAAGAUAUCACGGAAAACCACGCAACACAUCACACGAGAUUUAAGCCUUCGCUUUAAUAUAGCUCAAUAAGUAUUGACUGACGACUUUGGCAAAAUAAUGAGGUUUAUUUGUUGGAAAGCCAUCGGUGAGUUACCGAGUCAGUAAUAUCCCCUUCUCGUCGAUAAAGAGAUUUAGGGGUUGGAGUUUCACUCCAACGUUUUUGACUCGAUCCUUCUGGAGUGUACGAAUCUCAUUCGAGAAAUGAAUAUUUUAUAACAUUGGUACUAACUUGUUAUGAGCUAAAAUUAAUUCGUCGACGGCCAGAUGUACAUCUCGGUUUUGUCUCCAUCACAGACACCAAACGACCACCUUUAUUAAUUUUAUCCAGGAGGGAUAUCUUUUUAA